ACUCGAUUGAAAUUGAAUCAAGUCAAACUUUUCACGAAUCCAAACUCGAAUAGCUCAUAAAAAGCUCAGAUCAUGGCCACCCCUACUCUACAAGAGCCCCUAGAAUUGUAGCAUUCGAAGGUCUUAGAUACUUUAAUUUCCUUUAUUCCGACAAAGGCCCUUUGAACUAUCACCUGGGUUCUUCUCAAGGCUAUGUUGAGCCUCCCGUAAAGAAUAAGAACAAACCAACUAGGUCCAAAAAAGUUGAGUACCUGUAACAAGAUCAAUGGGCCUGGGCCUGGGCCUUUGCCCUCUGGGCGCUGGAUGACCCAUCUACGGAUCGGAUAGUGGGACCUUCAGGCUUCAGCCUUGUGUUUUCAAAACAUGAAGAACGAGGGACUCGUCGAAAUGUCGAGUUGUCGUCCAAAUUAAAAUGAUGAACACUCCCUGACUAGUGACGACGAUUGUCAUCAACUUAAAGUAAAGUAAGAAAUCAGAAAGAAAGCAGCAAUAGAAGAGAAAUGGUGUGGGUGCAUCAUCAUCUUCGCCGAUUGAAAUCAACUCGUCUAUGGGGAGGUGCAUUCUUGUGUUGGGUCUGUUUAAUGCUGACUACACCCAAAAUCCCUCACUCUCCCAAACACCACGUUUUCGCUGACAUGCGCAAUUUCCUAGGAGUUCCCAACACCUUGAAUGUGAUAUCAAAUUUUCCGUUUUUGGUUGUUGGUGUUCUGGGUCUAGUCCUCUGUCUUCAAGGAAGUCUUUUCGCCAUAAGUUUGCGGGGGGAGGUUUGGGGUUGGGCUUUCUUCUAUGCUGGAGUUACGGCUAUGGCUUUCGGGUCUGCUUAUUAUCAUCUAAAGCCUGAUGAUGAUCGAGUUCUAUGGGACCGACUUCCGAUGAUGGUCGCAUAUGCUUCGCUUUUUUCUAGUUUUAUAAUUGAGAGAGUGGGAGAACGGGUUGGGCUAAUAUCCCUGUUUUUGCUCCUGUUGAUGUCUCUUGCUAGCAUUGCUUAUGAAAGGAGUUUCAAUGAUCUCCGGUUGUGCAUGAUGUUCCACUUGAUUCCAUGCAUAGCAAUUCCAACCAUGACAUUUGUAUUCCCUCCAAAGUACACCCAUUCAAGAUAUUGGCUUUGGGCGGCAGGGGUUUACCUUCUGGCAAAAUUCGAAGGCAUUGUUGACAGGAAGAUUUAUGGAUCAAACCAUUACAUCAUCAGUGGGCAUUCCUUGGAGCAUCUAUGUUUAGUUAUGAUUCCUGUUUUGCUCAGCAUGAUGCUUAUUUACAGAAGCAUUAAAAUUCCAAGGUUGGGUGAGCUUAAAGAAUGGCCAUGAAAUGAACAGAGGAGACUGAGACCAGGUCCAUGGGAAACUUAGAGAGAAGCAAAAGAGGUGUCAUUGCCAGCAGUAGAAUGUAAAACAGGAAUGGCGAUUUCUAUCCAACUACAAGAAUUAAUGAUGAUGUGAUCUAACACGAAAGUUGUGAUCAAUUGAUUGGGGUGUAGUGUCUGAUCAAGAACUUGAAACAUGGGGUUGUUUUUGGAAUUUGGUUGUUAAAACUUGGAGUUGAGCUGAGUCGCAGAACGAGAGAGAGGGAUUUCGAGGGACAAGAUGUUUUUGGUUGUGCCUGGCAGUUGAUUCAUUGCCGUUGCCAGUAGAUUUCACGUCACAAACGCCGGUUUGCAAUGAGGUCUCCGGCGGGAUGCUCAAUGGAGAAGAGGAGAAAAUGGGAGGGACUUUGAAAUGGGAUGCUCAACGGAGAAGAGGAGAACCAGAUUCCUUCAAUUAACAUGCAAACUCCGGUUGAGCUGGUUUACGCUUCGGGUUCACAGAAUGCGAGCUCGCUGGGAACCUGGGGCCGCGUCCAAGUAAGGUGGAUUUCAAAUAAGGUACAUAUGUAUGGUCGUUAUACCUACUUUGCGUUUCCAGUAAUAAAAAAUAGGGAUAAUUACUUAAUACUGAGGUUUGAAGAAAUUACUUAUCAUGUUGACUUUUCAAACAUUGGUUGUAACGGAA